ACAGAACUGUUCAUAGUGGGAUCCGUAAGAUCGGUUCUGCAUGUUUAAUGCUUUAUUUUAGAAAAAGAGUUCAAAAAAGUCACAAAAAACAAAAACAUUGCCAUUUUUAUUAUUUUGAAAAAUGAAAAAAAAAUAGAAAGACAGGAAUCACAAAAUUGUUUGCAACACGUCCUUUAUUAAUGAUAUCAUUGAAAAAACAUGAUGCGGCCCUACAAUGAAC
rnacentral:lncRNA from 1 species